AAAACUAGGGUUUCUAGAACAUUAGGUGCGGCAUGGGCUUAGGGCUAGGGUAAGUAAUCAGAUUUUUUUCAUGUGACCAAGGCCUAGGUGCGGCUGAUUAAGUGGGCUAGGGUUAGGGUUAGGUGCGGCAUAGGUCCAAGAGGCAAAGAUGGGUCAUCCAAAAGCCCAAAGCCGAGAAUAGAAACUCUCGAAAUUGGAAACCUCCAAGAAUAGAAACUUCCAACUUUAGAAACUUUGGUUUCCAAUUCCGAAUUCUUAAUUCAUCACUUUCAUUUCUUCAUUCUUAAGCUUCUUUGACCUUCAAACUCGUCCAUUCCUCGUGCUCCAUUUGCAUACACCACAUUCCAGCUCACUUUUUUCUCCAAAAGCUCCAAAUUGCAUCAUUUCGUGUAAUAUGUCCUUUAACCCUGAAAACACAUGAAAGUAGCUUAAAAGACUACUUUGACGAAGAAAACAUAACAACAAUGCAUAAGAACUAGCUAACUAAGGCGCAUAAAUAUGCUCCUAUCAUUAGGAGGUUCUUCUCCACACAUGACACACUUGCAAACAAAACGAUUUUCAGUUGUUCUCCCAAUAAAUUAUGAAACUCAACACACCAAGUUAAUUAGAUACGCUUAAAUUAACCUUCAAGUUCUCCUAAAGUUAAUGAAUUGGAUGGGAAAGCGCAUACAACAAUUCAAGCAUUCCUUAAAGGUUCCUUACGUGAUGAGCACAAUAAAGAUACAAUCAAGAAUCAUGAAGCACAAUGAGAACUAUAAGUGUUGACGAGGCAUUCGUUACUAUGAUGAGCAUGAAACUAGUGCCAAGAAUUCAUUCAACGCGAUCGUUUUCAAGCGACCUUCACUACUUGUGAUUAUAAGAUUGUAACUAUUAGGUGAAACUCCCUCAUAAUCUAGCAUCAUAUUCAUGCAUGAAAACUAAGCGUGCACUCUCAAUCAACACAUACACAAAUAAGUUAUCAAUCAAGUAGAUGAACGAAUUGAAUCCACAACUUAUGAAAUAACAACUGAAUGUAAUCAAAUCAUAUUGCAAGCAUGUACAUGGUUUCGAAUCACCCCCCAACUAAGGGGGUUUAGUUCCUCAUACUCACAACACAAAGUUUAUUGAAUUGAAACAUUGAAAACAUAAGAAAGAUCACACCUAAAAAUUCCAGCAAUCUAAAUUGCACAGCAGGAACGUCUAAGAACCUUCCUCCUCUUCCUUGGUUGCGGCCCAGGGGUUUGUGAUGGUUUUUGGGGGUUAUGGAUGGUGUGGAAUGGUGGAAAAGUGUGUAGGAUAGGUGUAUGGGACGGCUAGGGUGGUUUUGGGUCAGAAAAUAUGGUGAAUGAUGAAGGAUAGGUGCUGUUGAAGAUGGAGAAUGGUUUCUGGCGUGAAGGAUUAUUUUCUGGAUGAAUGGUCGAAAAUUGGGUGAAUGAGUGAUCCCCCCUAGUGCCUUGCUGCAAAUCCUUAUUUAUAGGGCUAGGAAAGGUUUAGAACUUAGUUGAAACCAAAAGGUUUUGUACCAGAAAUUAGGCAGAAAUUAGGCACCAUGUGUGAAUAGGUAAAGCCUUCUAGAAAUAAGGUUUUGUACUAGAAAUUAGGCAGAAAUUAGGCACCAUGUGUGAAUAGGUAAAGCCUUCUAGAAGGAAUGCUUAUAUGGCUGAUUUCUAGAAGAACAAGGUCUAAAAACAUGUGGCACUAAUGUAGCCUUCUAGAAAUCAGGUUUUUUAGGCCCCCUUGCAGCUCCCUAACUGAAUUCAAGCCUUUCAAAUUCGUCCAUCCAUGAGCCUCCAUGCUUGCACUAUCCAAUCUUGGCCCAAAAAUGCUCUAGAAUGCUCCAAAUUGCUUCUUUUUGCAUACUUUGACACUAAAACCUUGUUCAAGUAGGAAUCAUCAUCUUCAAGCCUUCAAAUUUGUCCAAACCUUGGCUCCAAAUAUGUGACAUGCAUUCCAAACUCCAUUUUGCUUCUUUUUGCACACUUUGACCUUAGAACCUGAAAACACACAAAAGUGACUUUAAACACUAAAAUAGCUAAGUAAACACAACCUAAAUGCACGAGAACAAGCCAAUUAAGUAGCAUAAAUAUGCUCCUAUCAUUCAUAGUAACGAAUGCUUCGUCAAUGCUUAUGUUUUUCAUAGAACGUAAUGAUUCUUGCUUGUUUCUCUAUUAUGCAAUUCAUGUAGGGAACUUGUAGGGAAUGUUUUGGGUUGUCGUAUGCAAUCAUCCAACUUAAUAACUUGUGGAAAAACUGAGGGUUAAUUAGUGCAAUUCACGGUUAAUUUGGGGCGUUGAGUAUUCAUAAUUCAUUGGAAGAACAACUGAAAAUCGUUUUGUUUGCAAGUGUGACAUGUGUGGAGAAGAACCUCCUAACUAGCCUUUUAACCAUCUAUUUCACCAAAAUAGUUUUUGCAAUCUGUUUAGUUAAAGUUUCUGUUUUUGUGUUAAAUUUUCGUCCAAAACAACCCCCCUUAUUUUAGAGUCUUAGAUUAGUUAGAAAGUGUUUUGAUUUGUGUUUCUAAGUGUUUUGAUUCAAGUUUUCAUCCAAUUUCGUCCAAAUUAGUGUAGGUGCUCAAAACUGCCCAGAAAGUGGUUUUUAGGCAGUUUUGAGUCUUCUAGUUGCUGUUUUGAGUUCUAGGGUUGUUUAAGUGUUUUAAACUUUAGUUUUGCAUUCUUUGAGUCUAGUUUAGUGUUUUAAACUUUGUUUUUGAGUUUUUAAGUCAGUUUCCAAGUGUUUAGCAAUCCCUCCUAAUCCCCGGUUUAGAACGAUCCCUACUUACAUCUUUGCUACAAUUAGACAAAAAGAGGGUUUAAUUUGUGUGCUUAUCUAUUUCGCAACAAUGAGGAAGUAGCAUGGCUUGGUUCCUCAUUUGGUUUCUCAUUUUCUCCUUGAGUAACCCCUGCAUUCACAUGAUCAAAUUCAUUAGUAACUUCAUUGCCAACUCUAUUAUUGAUAACCUUACCAUUUCUAAGUGUAGUGAUUGCUUUGGCUUGCUCUUGGUUCCUUUGGAGUAUCACGGGUUGGCUUGGAAACUUUCCAACCUCUCUUUGGUUCAAGGCAUCAGCAAUCUGUCCCAAUUGUGUCUCCAUUUUGGUUAGAGCCGCCGAAUGUUGUUGGAAUGUGCUAUUUGUGGUUUGUUGGAAUUGCAAGGUGUUUUGAGCUAACAACUUAACCGUAUCCUCAAGUGUAGUGGCAGGUUUUGGUUGGAAGUUUUGGAAUUGAUUUUGAUUGUUGUUCUUCCAUGAAAGGUUGGGAUGAUCUCUCCAACUUGGGUUAUAUGUGUUUGAAUACACAUCAUUCCUUGGCCUUUGAUUGUAAGAAUUCAUGAGGUUCACUUGCUCUUGGACAAACUCGGGGUAAGCUUCCCUAGAUGGACAUUGAUGAGUAAGGUGGUUUGGUAUGUUGCAAAUGGCACACACCUCAUUUGCUUUUGGCACCAUGUUGAGCACGGAUUCAAGCUUCUUUUCUAGGUUAGCUACCUGCAACGAAAGAUCAUGAUUAGAGCUUGUUUCAUAUAUUCCAACUUUCUUACCCCUUAAAUCUUUGUGUUGAGCAUUAGACCCCAACAUCUCAUAAAUGUUAUAUGACUCUUGAGCAUUCUUUUUCUUCAAAGCUCCACCUGCUGCAUUAUCAACAGUUGAUUGACAUGUUUGGGUUAGUCCAUCAUAGAAAAUUUGCAUUUGUAAGUGAAGAGGUAACCCAUGGUGUGGACAUUGCAGCAAAAGGCCUUUAAAGCGCUCCCAACACUCAUUGAAAGGUUCUCCAUCAUCUUGUUUGAAGUUGAAGAUUUGUCCCCUUAAUGUGGCUGUCUUUUGAGUGGAAAAGACUUCUCCAAAAACUUCUUAGCCACGGCAUCCCAUGUGGUGAGGGAACCUGGUGCUAGAGUCGUCAACCAACCUUUAGCCCUAUCUUUCAAGGUGUAAGGAAACACUCUUAUCCUCAAAUUUGCUUCACUUACUCCCUGCAAAGGUAAACCACUCACAACAUUAUAAAAUUCUUUAACAUGAGCUAAAGGAUCUUCAUUAGGUAAGCCAUAAAAAGAGGGAAGCAUAUGGAAAUGUGAAGAUUUAAGAUCAUAGUUUCUAGCUUCAGUGGGCAGCAAGAUGCAUGAAGGUGAAUUUGGUAUGAUUGGUUGAGCAAAGUCCUCCAAAGCUCGAAGCUCAUCUUGGUUGCCUGCCAUCUCUUCUUCUCUUUCCCAAUUAACGUGCUCAGAUCCUUCACUUGUUGAACUAGACGAAUUCCCUUCCUUUUCUUCACGGACAAUGGAUGAACUUGUUGGCACAAAGUUGUCCAAAGUGUUGCCCUUUAACCCUUCAAUUCUUUGGCCUAACUCAACAAGUCUAUUUGACAUAUACUACCUGAAACAAAAUAAAACAAGUUUGAAUAAAAAUCAGAACUCUACUUAAAAUGAAAAGAACACGGUUUAAUAGCAAAACAAGCAAUUAUAAGGGACUGAAAUCAGUCCCCGGCAACGGCGCCAUUUUUGUUGAAUUAAUUCCUUCCUAGUGCUAAAACAUGUUGAGUAUAAUAGCACAAGUAAGGGUGUCGAAUCCACAGGGACUAAUUGGACCUAUACAACCACUUGUUUUGCAAGAACCCUAUUAGAUAAUAAAACUAAUCAAUUUAGACAGAUUUGUUGUUGUAACUUGAGAACACACGAAAAUGAAUCAACAAGUAAUAAAAUGGGAUAGCACCAAUGGAUAUGAAGCUAGGGAUUCGGUUUCACCAUUGCUAAACCAAUUCCAUGUUUGUUAAGUCAGUUUAUGCUCAGCCAUCUACCUAUUUCUUGAGUUUGUUUCACUUAGAUAUGAUCAACCAUAUGAUGUGUGGAUUUGAUCAAAUGUUCCUAGUCAAGAACCUAAUUGUGAUGUGCAACUUUGGUUCCUAAUCAAGAAUGUGUCACGCAUAAGAAACUUUCAUAAAACCAAAGGAAACACUUGGCAGGAUGUUUGCAAAACAUUCCCUUCAAUCAUUCCCAUAUCUACCAAGAUUAUGCAUGAUGUGUGCUUUUAAUAUUGGCUAGACAACCUGUGUUUAAUUCAAAUGGUGAUCAAGCAUUAAAAUCAACACACAAAGUCACAAUUAAAUCAGAGAAUGAAACAAGAAAUAGAAGGAUCAACUGAGCAUUCUGAUUUAACUAGAUGGCAAUCUUGCUAGGCUACAUCGAAUCCCUAGAAAGAGAUUAGUUACACUUCAUGUUUACAAAAGGUUUGACAUAGAAAUAUAUAACAUGAGUGAACAUAGAAUUAAGAAGAAGAAACCCUUGAAGCAAAACUGGUGUCGAAAAUCCCUUAAGAGUGGCCUUCGGUGUUGGUUCUCCAAGUGUGAUGUAAAUGAAGGUGGAGCGGCUAUGAUUGAAUGGUUUCUGUAAAUGGGAGAGAGAAUGGACAGAAAUGGAGCAGCUAUGUGUGUGAAUAAUGGUAUGAUGGAAUCCCCCCUUGAAGAAGUGAGUUUGCAUAGUUAUUAUAGGGGUUUUAUGGGAGAGCAUACGGAUGCCUUUAGAAAAGUGGAGCUGGAAGGGCAAAGAUGAGCUAUUUUUGUGAAUGAUGAUGGGGUGGGUGGAUUUCUGGAAUGGUAAAUGCACGGCACAAGGGAAAUAUGCAUGCAUGUGGCUAAUUUAAUUGAAGAUGCAUGUGGAAUAGCUGCAAGGAUGAAGUGGACAACCUGGAAGUGGUUGUACAGGCUGGAAAAGGGGUAUGAAAGUGCACGGCAUGGCUGUGUUUGUUGGUGUAAAUGUGGCUGAAUGGUUUAAUUAAUGGGAGUGCAUGUUUUUGGUGUAAAAGGGAGCUGGAAAGGUAAGGGAAUGCACGGCAAGGUGUGUGGAACCACCCAAUAUGUCCGAAUUGCACCACUUCCUUCCACAUCUUUUCCUGAAAUUCCAGCAGCCAAAAUAGUCCUUGAUUCCUCAUUUGGACUUCAAAUUAACUCCCCAAAAUCUUCUCCACGCUUGGAAUAAUGCUCAGCUACCAAAAAGGGUGUUUUUACUUCAUUUGCCUUCCAAUUGAUCCUAAAACACACUUGGCUGCACACUAACACCAAAUAAUGUAAAAUACAACUAGUUUGAUCCAAAAACAUCACAAAGAUGCCAAAUAUGGAGGAUAUAAAUGCACACGAAAUGUGAACUAUCAGCACACAAAUUAAACCCACUUGUUGACAAUUGUAGUAUGAAUAAGCAGGGAUCGUUCUUAAACCGGGGAUUAGGAGGGAUUGCUAAAACAGUCUAAACUGACUUAAAUAUAUAAAAAGAGGCUAAAAACACUUAACUAGACUCAAAGAACUCAAAUCAAACUCAAAAGACUCAAAACAAGCUAAAAACGCUCAAAACUGCCUAAAAACAAUAAUUAGGCAGUUUCUGACUCUAACACACUUUUUGGACGAAUUUUGGUUUUAUAUUGAUUCAAAACACUUAAAAAUACAAACUAAACAGAUUCUAACUAAUUAGACACUCUAAAGUGGGGGUUUGGUUUUGGUGAAUUUGAAAACAAAACAAACAGAUUGUAAACUAAGCAAAAUUUGGACGAAUUUGGGGUAAAACUAUGGAUGAUAGGCUAGCUAGGAGGUUCUUCUCCACCUUUAACACACUUGCAAAGAAAAUGAUUUCCAGUUGCUUUUCCUAAUCCUCAAUGCCCCAGAUUAACUGUGAAUUGCACUGAUUAACCCUCAGAUUUUCCUAAUUUCAUUGAAUUGGAUGAUUGCAUACAAUAACCCAAAGCAUUCUUCACAAGUUCCCUACAUGAAUUGCAUAAUAAAGAUAUGAGCAAAGAAUUUACAUGAAACUUAUGCCAAGAAUUUACUUAACGCGAUUGUGACAAGCAACCUUCACUACUUAAGAAUAUAAGUUCAUAACGAUUAGGUGAACUCCCUUAUAUCCUAGCGUCAGAUUUAUGCAUGAAAAUUAAGCGUGCACUCUCAACCAACACACACAAAUCAGUUUUACUUCAAACGGAUAAGUAAAUAGAAUUCACAACUUAUGAAUCACAACUAGAUGUAAUCAAAUCAUAUUGCAAGUAUGAACAUGGUUUCAAAUUCCCCUUAGCUAAGAGGGGUUUAAUUCCUCAUACUCACAAAACAAAGAUUAUUGAAUUGAAACAUUGAAAACAAAAGAAAGAUUACACCUAAAACAUUCCAGCAAUCCUAGCUCAAAUGGCAAGCCCGUCCAAGGGCUCUCCUCCCUUCUUGCUGCGGCACAAGGUUUGAUAUCGAGUUUUGGGGGUUAUGGAUGGUGUAGAAGGAUGGGUUUAUGAAAUCUGGUGAAGGAUGGAUUAUCUCAAUGGUGUGUGGCAAAGGCUUUUAUUUAUAGGAGAAGGAAAGGCAAACGGGACAAGGAAGGGUUAUGACACAAAGUGAAAGGGAAAGAGAAAGUUAUGACACAAAGUGAAAUGUAAAGAGAAAGUUAUGACACAAAGUGAAAGGGAAAGGGAAAGUUAUGACACAAAGUGAAAGGCAAAGGGAAAGUUAUGACACAAAGUGAAAGGUAAAGGUAAAGGGAAAGUUAUGACACAAAGUGAAAGGUAAAGUUUGAUGCAACAAGGGGACACAGAAGGGAACACAUGGCUCCAAAUUCUUCCCUCCUUCAUGACUUAAUUCCUUCAUCUUCUUAGCACGUUCCUAGUCUCUUUUGGUCUUCAAAUUCGUCCAUCCACCUUCCUCCAUGCAUGUGUUAUCUAUUCCAAGCCCAAAACUGCUCCACAAUGCCCCAAAAUACACUUUCUUGCCACCUUAGCCCUUUGGACCUAUAAAUACACGAAAAUUGCUUAAAAUAAUAUAACUAAGAACUAACAACAUAAAUGCCAAGAAACAAGCUAACUAAGUCGCAUAAAUAUGCUCCUAUCAGUAAGUAGGGAUCGUUUUAGACCGGCGAUUAACUAGGGAUGCUAACCAACACAAAUAAGACUCAAAAACACUAAACUAGACUCUAUAGACUCAAAACUAACUCAAAACACUCAAAACAGCAACAAACAAUAAAAAAAACUCAAUUCUAGACCUAACAAGUGAUUUUGACGAAAAUAAGACUUAACUUGACUCAAAAGACAAAGAAAAUAGAUUAUGACUCAACUAACAAGACUUAAUGAAAGGGGGAUUGUUUUUAACGAAUUUAAAACUUAGAACAGAAACUUUGCAUAAAACACCUUAUAAAAACGAAUUUGGUGAAUUGAAAAGGGUGGAAGGCUAGUUAAAGGAUCCUUCUCCGCACAUGACAUAUGCAAACAAACUAAUUUCCAAUCAUUAUUCCUUUAAACCAUGAAUGACAACACCCCAAGUUAACCGUAAUAGCACAAAUUAACCAUCAUAUUUUCCUUAUUUCAUUGAAUUGGACAGGAUACGCAUCACAACCAAAUUAUCUUUCUCAAGUCCCCUAACUAUGAAAAGCAUGAUAGAAAGACAUAUCAAAGGUCAUUAAGUUCUUUGAAAACCAUAAGCAUUGACGAGUGAUGCGAAAUAGAUAAGCACUCAAAUUAAACCCUCUUUUUGUCAAAUUGUAGCAAAGAUGUAAGUAGGGAUCGUUCUAGACCGGGGAUUAGGAGGGAUUGCUAAACGCUUGGAAACUGACUUAAACACUCAAAAACAAAGUUAAAAACACUAAACUAGACUCAAAGAAUGCAAAACUAAAAGUUAAAACACUUAAACAAACCUAAAAACCAAAACAGCAACUAGAAGGCUCAAAACUGCCUAAAAACCACUUUCUGGGCAGUUUUGAGCACCAACACUAAUUUGGACGAAAUUUGAUGAAAACUUGAAUCAAAAUACUUAGAAACACAAAUCAAAAACACUUUCUAACUAAUCUAAGACUUCAAAUUAAAGGGGGAUUUUUGUUUUGACGAAAAUUAAACUAAAGAAAACAGAUUGGAAAUAGGGCAGAUUGUAAAAACGAUUUUGGUGAAAUAGAUGGUUAAAAGGCUAGUUAGGAGGUUCUUCUCCACACAUGUCACACUUACAAACAAAACGAUUUUCAGUUGUUCUUCCGAUAAACUAUGAAUACUCAACGCCCCAAGUUAACCGUGAAUUGCACUAAUUAACCCUCAGUUUUUCCACAAGUUAUUAAGUUGGAUGAUUGCAUACGACAACCCAAAAACAUUCCCUACAAGUUCCCUACAUGAAUUGCAUAAUAGAGAUACAAGCAAGAAUCAUUACGUUCUAUGAAAAACAUAAGCAUUGACGAAGCAUUUGUUACUAUGAAUUUGCAUGAAACUUAUGCUAAGAAUUCAUUCAACGCGAUCGUUUUCAAGCGAUCUUCACUACUUGUGAUUAUAAGAUUGUAACUAUUAGGUGAAACUCCCUCAUAAUCUAGCAUCAUAUUCAUGCAUGAAAACUAAGCGUGCACUCUCAAUCAACAUACACAAAUAAGUUAUCAAUCAAAUAGAUGAACGAAUUGAAUCCAUAACUUAUGAAAUAACAACUGAAUGUAAUCGAAUCAAAUUGCAAGCAUGUACAUGGUUUCGAAUCACCCCCCCAACUAAGGGGGUUUAGUUCCUCAUACUCACAACACAAAGUUUAUUGAAUUGAAACAUCGAAGACAUAAGAAAGAUUACACCUAAAAUGCCAAAGAACUCCACUUUUAAUUCUGCACAGCAAGCUCCUCUUUCUUCUUCUCCUUGCUGCGGCAGAGAGGGUUUAGGGGAUUUUUGGGUAGUUUUGGAUGAUUUUGACGAGGGAGAAUGGUGGAAAAAUGUCUAGGAUGGGUGUAGGGCACGGCUAAGAAGGUUUGGGGUCAGAAAAUAUGGAGUUGGGUGAAGGUUGGGCUCGGCAAAGGUGAGGGACAGGUUCUGGCGUGAAUGGAGUUUUCUGGAUGUGUUUUUGGGUUUUGAAAGGUAGAUAGGAUAGUAUGGUGGUGCGGCAAGGUGUGGGAAUGGUUUAUGGAGGUGGAGAAUGGUGUAUGGAUGUGGGAAAGGUUGCUGGAAUGGGUGGUGGCUGCGGCAAGGAGGGGAUUAGGGUGAUGGUGAUUUUCUGAUUUGUGUAGAGGGAAUGAUAUGUGCGGCUAGGGUGUAGAAAUAUAUAUAUAGGCACUUAAAAACCCUAGCAAAUCAGAUUAGGGCCUUUAAAACACAAAUCCAUCAGAAAUUAGGUUGAAAGAAGUAGACAUUUAGUGGGAAAAAAAAAGGGCCUAGGGUGCGGCUGGUAUGUGGGCUAAGGUUAGGGUUUCUAGAAACCCUAACAAGGCAAGGCAAAGUGAUUCUAGAGGGCCCAGGUGCGGCAUAGGAUGAAGGUCCAUAAGGAAUUUGGGUUUAGGACAUCUAAAAGCCCAAAGCCAAGAAUAGAAACUCACGAAAAUGGAAACCUCCAACUUUUAGAAACUUUGGUUGCCAAUUCCGAUUUAGGAAAGAUCAACCCAAAAUGGAAACUUUUAGGCUUAGUUUUCCUACUUCAAGUAGGAAACCUCAACUCUUCAACUCUUCAAUUCCAUCCCAACCUUGUGUUCCAAGCAUGUCCUUUUCAAUCCAAGCUCACUUCUUGCUCCAAAAGCUCCAAUUUGCAUCAUUUCAUGUAAUACGUCCUUUAACCUGAAAACACAUGAAAGUAGCUUAAAAGACUACUUUAACGAAGAAAACAUAACAAAAAUGCAUAAGAACUAGCUAACUAAGGCGCAUAAAUAUGCUCCUAUCAAAUUCCCCCACACUUAGCUUUUGCUAGUCCUCGAGCAAAACAAACAAAAGAAAGAAAACAAAACGAAACAAACUAACCAAAACAAAACCUAAACCUUCCAACGUUUGCCUCAGGGAUUUCCAAUGCACAUGACAUGUUAAAGGUUGUUAUCCCCACAUAUUUGAGUCAUCUUUACACAAGCAUAUACUUAAUUAAAGCCACUACUCACUAGUUCACAAGUAAUCAAUUAAAACAAUGCUUUGAAUGUAAUAACAUGCCUUAGAGAGUUCCCUCAAUUCCUUACAAGAUAUACACUCUAUUUUCACUCAGAUUUUCUAACUCCACACCCUACACUAGUCAUAUGUGAGAAGAUUGAUGUAAAUAUGGAAACGAAUGCUCACAUAUAUGUAUCACAAAGAACGCAAUUUCUAGAGUUAAGAAGCAUGUUUAGAUAUGAUCUCAUGAAUGGAAUGCUACUACUUAGAUGCGAGAACCAGUGACACCAUAUGCUCAUACCAAAUUCAAACUCCACCAAUUGAAACACCUAACACUCAAGAUAGAAGUUAAGGGUUGUAAUGGGGCUUGGGGUGUUGGUUAACAAGGAAAGGAUAGGGAAAACAAACGUUCUUCAAGCAAUAGUAAGCACAGCAAUGAAAUUGAGACUUAGAAUUCACUUAGAUUGCAGAAAUUAACUUUAAAACACAAGGGGGAGACUUAGACAACUCCUUAGGGUCAAAUUCAUUGUUUUGGACCCUUACUUCAACAAACAAUACUUUGGAACUUUUUUUCUCAACUUUUCAACUUUUUUUUUUUUUCAUUCUUCUCAUAUUUUUUUUUUCUUCAAUUUUUCUUUUCUUUGCCGUGCCUAUGGCACACAAUUCCUCAUGAAAAACACUUCCCCCACACUUAUUUUCUGCUAACAUAGAUCACAAGGAAUUCAAUUCGAAUCAUGCUUUACUAUGCUUUAAGAACAAGGGUAUGGAUAGUCCUAAUCUAAGCUAGGUGAGGGUAAUGUGGGUUAACAAAGAAAAGGCUAAACAAGGCUCAACGGGGUUAAACUUAAACAUAUAA
rnacentral:lncRNA from 1 species